AUAACUGACAGAGACCCAAUUAGUAACAUUUCCAUUGAUUUUACUUCAUAUUUAAUUAAUUUUAUCAUUAAUUUCUAUUAUGACUAUUUUUUUAAUUCCCAUCUUUGAGAUCUCUAGAUCACAAAAAUAUUUCAUUUUUAUUUCAAGUAGAACAUUUUUAUUACAAAAUAAGAAAAAGUUUCACUGUCACUAAUGAGGUCGUUUAACCUAGGCAAGUUUUCUUAAAAAAAUUAAACAAGGAAUCUACAGUAUUUAAAUUUAUUCUUAGUAAUCAUGAAAAUGAUAAGAUUCAAGUGAUUGCCUGGGAAAAUGACAUCAAGCGCAUUAUUGAUCUUAUUGAAAUCGACUCAAUAAUCCAUAUUGAUGGAUCGUAUUAAAAAAAAAUCGACUCAACUUACAAUAGAUUUAAUGAAGGAAACGUUCCAUUGGAAUUUAUCAUUCAAUCCAAUACAAAAGUAUUCACUUUAGGAAAGCUUGAACUGAGCCAUAAAGUUGCCAAUGGAACAGAAAGUUAUCCGCUAAUUACAAUCAAGAACUGUCAACAAUAUUUGGAAAAAAAAAUACGACUCCAAGCUUAUAUUAAAACUAAUUUUGACAUUGUCAAAAAUCAACAAACAAAUGUUAAUUAUUGCUGCGGAUCUUUGGUAGACAAAUCUUACUGGAAAAUCGAAGCUAAAAUUACUCAAUUCAAAUUACCAUUUAUUAAUAAAUUUUGUAAAGGCCAACACGUUGAAAUUAUUGGUCUCAUUAAUAAUUCUCAUCAUUAUGCCACUGUUCAUAUUCAAUAUAUCGAUGACAUAGUUAAAAUCGACGACGAUACAAUGUCAUUUUCCGAGUUAAUGAAGGCUAACAAAGAAAUUAUUGAACCAGACGAUAAUGACUCAAACAAAA